rnacentral:rRNA from 1 species
AGAGAGAGACAUGCGCGCAUAUCAAUAAGCGGAGGAAAAGAAACUAACAAGGAUUCCCUUAGUAACGGCGAGUGAAGCGGGAAGAGCUCAAAUUUGAAAUCUUCAAGGUUUUACCUUGACGAAUUGUAGUUUAAAGAAGUGUUUUCUGCUGAAGUUUUGGUAAAAGUUCUUUGGAAUAGGACAUCAUAGAGGGUGAGGAUCCCGUAUUUGACCAUUAUUUUCAGCUUUGUGAUACACUUUCAAAGAGUCGGAUUGUUUGGGAAUGCAGUCCAAAAUGGGUGGUAAAUUUCAUCUAAAGCUAAAUAUUGGCGAGAGACCGAUAGCGAACAAGUACCGUGAGGGAAAGAUGAAAAGAACUUUGAAAAGAGAGUUAAACAGUACGUGAAAUUGUCAAAAGGGAAGCGUUUGACACCAGUGUUGUUUUCCUCGAAAAUCAAUUAAAAAUGGCUCGAUUUUGUAUUGCUUGAGACCUUAAAAGCUCACUGUACAUUUUUCGUGUCUUUUUUAAUGCACUUUUCGUUUAACAAGUCAACAUCAGUUUCUUUUGUUGUAAAAGGGUCAUUGGAAGGUGGCUUUCUUUUCGGAGAAAGUGUUUAUAGCCUUUGGCCUCUGCAAUCGGAGAGACUGAGGUCUGCAGCGUAGACUCUUCGGGGUUAGAUACAUUUGUGCUAAGUUAUAGCUUUUUAUAGACAACUUGUUGACUAUAAUUAGUCUUGUAGCUUACUCGCUUAUGCUAUUUUACCUACGCUUAGGAUGUUGAAGUCAUCGUAUCGCGC